rnacentral:lncRNA from 1 species
ACCUAUUAAUAUUUAAAAUAAUUAAUUUUUAUUAUAAUAAUAUUAAUUAAAAGUUAAUAUUUAAUAAUAAUAAAUAUUAUUAUUACUGAACGAUAGCAAAAUGCUACCCUCUUCGUUUAUUUCUUUUAAAAAUAAAUUUAGCUGGAAAUAUAAAUUAACGAAAAUGUGAAUCAACUAUGAUUCAAAUUUAGAAUCUCAAGUACCAACCAACAAGUCCUUUGCCACUUGCACCAAAAACAGUCAGUUACUAAAUACUAAUUAUUAUAAUUAUUAUUGCUAUUACUAGUAUUUAAUUUGAGUAUACAAACCAAUAUGAUCAAAUUUGGCAUAGAUAGUCAAUUAAAUACUAGUAAUAAUAAUAAAAAAAUUAUCAUUUAGUAAUAAUAAUAUCAUUAUUAUUAAAUAAAAUUAUUUUUAAAUAUUAGUAGAUUGAGAGGAAAGAGAGAGAAAAAAUUUCUCUCCUAAUUAACAUAUAAAUGCUUUAAGUUACUUUCUAAAUUAGAAAUUUUUUUUAAGAAGAAGGCUAGAUUGGAAAAAAAAAUUUCCAAUAUAAGGCAAGAUAUGACACUAGUUCAAAAAAAAAAAAAAAAGAGUAUUUAUAGAAGAAGGCUAAUAAAAUCUGCUUAGAAUAAAGGCUAAAUUAUAGAAAAUCUUUCUAUUAAAAUCUGAUUUUUCACUUUCCUCUCAUGUCAUUUAAAAAUUUAUAUUUUAUUCUCUUAUAAAAUGAAAAAUGUUUACAGGGGUAUGGUGUGAACUGUGAUGAUAAAAUGAUCAUUUUGCCCCUCACCAUUUUGCCCCUCACUAUGUUCACAAAAGAGAAGGCUGAGGGUAUUUUUGGUAUAAAAAAAUAUAUAAUAAUAUUUUAUAAGCGGAACCCUAAUGGAUUACUAACGGUAGGAGCGAAGUAAAUAUUUUUUAUUUUAUAAGGGGGCAAAGUAUAGAUUUUUAAAUGACAGGAGAAAAUCGGAUUUUGAUACGAAGGUUUUAUGUAAUUUAGUCUAGAAUAAAUUUCCUAAGUUUGGGAAGAAGAAUAUCCCGCAGCAGUCUGUCCGACCACUCCCUCACUCCCUCCCUCCCUCCCUCCCUCGCAGUGGCUGACAGACAGACAGACAGAUUUACAGACAGACAGACAGACAGAACAGAUGGACGGCAGCAGCGGCGGCGGCGGCGGAAGAAGAAGAGAAGGAGAGGAGGAUGCGGUUGGGGUUGGGGUGAUCCGGUACGGAAUCGUGGGGGUGGGGAUGAUGGGGCGGGAGCACGUGCUGAACCUGCACCACCUCCGCGAGGAGGGCGCCCUCGUCACGUGCGUCGCCGACCCCCACCCCGACUCCCUCGCUCUCGCCCUCCAACUCCACCGAUCCCUCCUCCACCACAACAACAACUCCUCCCCUCCUCCCCAAGUUUGUAAAAAUGCUUUUUGAUCCAACUAUAAAAUCUUUAAAAACUUAAAACUUCAAAAUUCGAAUGCAUCGUUUAUUUUUACGGGAUCUGAUUAGCAUAUUUCAUAUAAUUUAUUCAACCGUAAUUCCACUAAAGUAAGUAAUGAAUUCAAAAUUUGUACCCGAAGAGCCGUUGGUUGGCUUGUAUCAGAUAAAUUGAAUGAUUUGAGUAACAAAAUCAAAGUUUCUAAAAGGUUGGGCGGUUGAAUCAAAAUGAGCCAAAGUUGAGGUAAAUUAUAUACAUUUCCCCCCUUUUUCUCUCAACUAUUAUUAUUGUCGUGCUUGGUUGUGAAAUAAUUGUGAUUUGAAUUAAAUAAGAGAAAAUCGAAACAUACUUUGACAUAGUUACAGAUAUGGAGAUACGCUACGUAAUGUUUUUACAUAUGGAAAGAAUAUUUCUUCGUGUAUAUGUGUAAUUUGACCGAGAAAUUAUUGUUGUACUCUGCGGUAGUAAAUGUGUGCGUAAUCAAGCAUCUACAAAUAGUUCCAUAGCAAAAAAAUGGAUAGUCGCGGUAAAUUACCUUUGAUUUUGGCUUUCGAUCUCUCCAAGGAAGGAGCUAUAUUCUGACAUAAAUAUGAAUGCGUCGAUGUUGUUUACUGCAUUUUGUGCAAAAAAAAAAGAAGAAAAUUCUUUCCUUCACCUGUAUGCACAAUUUUAAUGUGUGCGAAAAAUUUUAAGGCAUUCUCGGGACACCGCGAGUUAUUAGACAGUGGGCUCUGCGACGUGGUUGUUAUAUCGUCUCCGAACAUGACUCACUUUGAAAUCCUUAUGGACGUCAUCCACCAUCCGAGGCCUCACCACAUUCUUGUCGAGAAGCCGUUGUGCACCACCAUUGAAGAUUGCAGAAAGGUCGUACGUUUGGCUAUGUUUUAAUUUGUUCUUAAGAUGAGAUUUCAAAACCUGUCUGAAGCAGAUUAAGUUUUUUUUUUUUUUUCGCUGUCAUGGUCACAAAUUCUGUCACAUAUUUUCUCCUAUCUUCUCUUCGUAAGCUUAAGCUUGUUUUUGUCGACGAUGAAAGCUCUUCAGGCUCCCAUUGUAGGUCAUAGAGGCUGCUAAAAAGAGACCCGAGAUUCUUGUGCAAGUUGGACUAGAGUAUCGGUACAUGCCUCCGGUGGCUAAACUAAUCGAAGUUGUUCAAAGCGGCACGCUGGGGCAAGUAAAAAUGGUGGCGAUUCGCGAACAUCGGUUUCCUUUUCUCGUUAAGGUAUAUUAAGCUUGUGCGUUUAAUGUUCUCAGUGCUUGUUUGUUUUUCAAAUGGGUAUUAGCCAUUCUGAAGUUCAUGUAGGUCAACAACUGGAAUAGAUUCAAUGUUAAUAGUGGCGGAACGUUGGUCGAGAAGUGUUGCCACUUCUUCGACUUAAUGCGGCUGUUUGCAGCUGCAAAUCCAGUUCGCGUGAUGGCUUCUGGAGCUAUUGAUGUUAACCAUAAGGAUGAAGUUUACGAUGGAAAGGUGACAUUUUCUUUUCCUUUCUUUUUAGUAUCAGUUAAAUUGCUUGAUACUUAUGAUGUCGGAAAGGGUUCUAGUCCUUAUCUGAUUUACCAGCGAAGUCGUUGAUAUCACCAUAUGCUGGAUAAUUUAUCACAAAAGAAGUUACAAAAUUUAGUUUACUUUUCACAUUAGCGAUGCAUAUUGUAUUAAAUUUGUUUGGAAUAUCUUGUUCUAAAGUGUCUUCUGUUCAUCGGUUGCUACUGUAUCAUACUUUUUACGUAAAUGCUAUCCAUAUGCAGUUUUAUGAAAGUACUUGCGAAUUUAAGAUAGUUUAAACAAUAAGAUGUUAUUGCAAUAGAUCGUUUCGUUCAAUAUCUGAAAGGAGAAUAAUCCCAUGCAUCUUGAUGAUAUGUUAUUAAUUAUUAUUCCUAAGGGGUACAAAUUUUUGUAAAGUACAAUUGUAUGUCGUUUUCAUGAAUCAUCUUCUCAAAAUGGUUAAUACAUUCUCUUAACUGAGACUAGGGAGCAGAGAGAGAAGAUCAUAUUAUUGAUUGUGAUUGAAUGAAUUUUUUAGAUAUUUCAUAUCAUUGUGCGUAUGCUUGCAGAGAAUUUGAUCAUUUAUUCAUACUUCACAAAGAAGUCAAUGACUUUUACCUCUAUCGGUUUUUUCCUACCAUUUUCUGGUCAAAUAUAGCUUUAGUCGAUUCAAAUGUUGAGCUGUUCAUACUUUUUCUUUUUGUUUGUUGGAAUAAAACUUUAGCAGAUUAAAGGACUGUUUAGAUCUCAUUCUCAAAUUCAUAUUCCAUAUUAAAUUAUUAUAAACAAGAGACAUGAGUGCGCUCUCUCUCUCUCUCUCUCUCUCUCUCUCUCUCUCUCUCUCUCUCUCUCUUUUUCUUUUUUUAAAUUCGACCCUCUUCUGUGACCAGUAUUUUGAUUUCACCACUUUUUAAGAACAUGACUUAUUUAGUACUCUAGUCUGAACUGCAGUUGCCUGCUUUUGUUUGCUUUAUCUACUUCUGCUAUACUGUACAUUUGUAUGCUUACUGAAAGAUACUAUCCUGUCUUGUAAUUCAAUUCCAAAAACAGGUACCUGAUAUUAUUGAUAAUGCGUUCGUCAUCGUGGAGUUCGACAAUGGUUCUCGUGGAAUGCUUGACCUUUGCAUGUUCGCUGAGGGCAGUAAGAAUGAGCAGGAGAUUUCCGUCGUCGGAGACAUCGGAAAGGUGCAUCUCCCUGUAUUUUCAAAGAAAUUGAUUUUGAAUUUUGUUACGAUAUAUUUCUCUCUUCCUGUGCAAAUUCAUGCAUUUAAUUAAGCAAUCAAACUUAAAUUCUUAUUAUAUUAACUGUAGUUUUUCCUCUUUCUUUUAUAAGCUAUCUUUAGCCGUUUGUUGAGCGUCUGUUAUAUUAGAUGAGAUGAACUUUUACUGUUUUUAUGUAGAUUCAUACUGUGGAUAAACUUAAAGAGUUUUUCUCAACAGGGCGAGGCUUUUGUUCCGGAGAGUAUAGUGAGGGUCGGAAGCAGAAAAGAAGGUCGGGCUGGAGUUGUAACAAUAAAGGCCGAGGAUAAGCGAAUCAAGUAUGUUCAUAACCGUACAUUACCGUAUCCAAGUUUCAUUCUUACAUUUUAUUAUCUGAGUUAGCAAAGUUUUGAAAGAUAUGAUUUCAUUACUUACUGUAACAAUGUUGCGACAACAAUCAUGUUCAUAAAGAGAUAGAUAAGUUCAUCAUGUAUAAAAAAAAAGCAUUCGUUCCGGGCUUGCGACCACAUGCUUUCAGGAUCGAGUUUCGAGAACAAUCACUUAACACAAAAAACGUGCUGAAAGGUAGAAUUGCCUCCAAAAACUUAAAACCCGCUUCACUGGAUAGUAAACCCUUCGUCCUUCGGUAUAGUAGUAGAAGUAAUAAUGAAAGUUCGCAUUGUGAUACUGUACUGAUGUUAACAGGUAAGAAGAGAGAGAUUUCGAGUUCGUUAAAAAUACGAAGAAUUUAGUGAAAAACAGUGUCUAUAAGCUUUAAGUUUAGCUUUUAAUGAUUAGAAAUAUUGUGGUUUUUGCAGGUAUGAUGGGCUGCAUCAUGGAUCGAGCUACUUGGAACACCUAAACUUCUUGUCUGCAAUCAAAGCUCGUGGCAGCGGCGCCCCGUCCGUCAGCUUAAUCGACGGACUGUACUCCGUUGCUAUGGGCGUCGCUGGCCAGCUUUCGAUCGAGAAAGGCCGAUUCGUCACCAUCGAAGAAGUCUUAACUGGCUAACCAAGUACGCAGCAUAAGUUAUUGUCGUCGAUAAUCGAUGUUUUAUACUCGCACUUUUCUACUCGUCUCUUUCAUUAUAUGUUGUACCGAUUUGAUGUUUUUCGCAUUCGAUUUACAUUGUUUUCUUGUUCAUUUAUUUCAGGAUGUUUGAGCGGCUGCGCGAAGCUAUUUCGACUGUUCCUUUUAUGAUGAAUAAUAGAUCCAUGAAGUGUUGUUUUUUCAAGUGGUGUAUCCACAAAAAGGUUGUGAAAUUUGUUAGUGCUCUUCAAUGGCUUGAUAUUAGGUAUUGCUUCUCCUUUAAAGGGCCGUUUAGUUGGACGCAAUUAUAUAUGCAUGUGUAGUUAGAUAUAUGUAUCUUGAAAAUACAGCAAUUAUAAUUACACGUCUUAUUUGAUUAUAUGUGAUAGAAAAUAUUAUAAUCAUAUAUAAUUUAUUUAGUUGUAUGCAGUCGGCGAGUGUAUUUACAAAAUUUGUCAAUGUUUUAUGGGGUGGUGGGAGUUUUUGGACAAGUAAGCUUAUAUAAAUUUUUACGGGAAAAUUUUUUGUGGUUUUGCACUUUCUCACUUUAAUACCCUGUGGUUUAAAGUGUAUCACUUUCGUACCCUGUGGUUUUAAUUUUUUUUUUUUUGUUAUUCGUUCUACUAAUUUUUUUCGUUAAAUCAGUGACAAAGUUAAAAUUAAAGGGUACUAAACUGAAUAUUCGAUAAACUAUAAGUAGUAUAUCUAAGGUUUUUGUAUAUGAUUUAACGAAAAGUUAACGAAGGGGUUGACGAAAAGAGAAAAAUGAAAUUAGAGGGUACUAAAUUGAUACAUUUUAAACUAUAGGGUACUAAAAUAAGAAAGUGCGAAAUUAUAAGGAUGGUAUUUAAAGUUUACCCAAUUUUUAAUUGUAAA